UAACACAACAUUCUACAAACAUACAUACAGACAAAACACAAUCGUUGUCGUCUCAGACGAUGAUUAUGACAGUUUUUACACAUUGUUGAUUCGGUUGAGGUUGGGGUUUAUUUCUGUCCGCUGUUUAUGGUAUUCUCUAGUUGGCCUGAGUAUGCGGGACUGAGAGCGUGUAUAUCGCGGUGGAGUAUAUAGAUAUUGAAGAAAUCGAAUGAAAAAAACAAACAGAAAAACAAACAACAAAAAGAAAAACAAAAAAUAAAUAACUUAAAUCCAAAAAAUAACACACAGAUCUUUUUUUUAAUUUCAUAUAUUUUAUUCAAUUAUUCUCAAACGAUCGGUCGUUUUUAUCAAGUGUGAUCGAAAAGUGUUUUUGUUCAAAAUUAAAUUUGAUUUGAAAUUCCUAGAUCGAAAUAUGCAUGGGAAAUUGUGAAAAUUGUAUGUGAUUUAUAGUGAUUUUCAAAAAUAUUUCACAUUCAAGAAGGAAAAUGAGAGACGUAUGACGUUCAUACACACAUAUAAAUACAUACAUACGUACAAAUGUAUAUGCAAACAUAGAUACAUCCAUGCAUAUCUUAUCAAUUUGUAGUGAAAUGAGGAAAAUACACAAAUAAUAUUAAAAAAAUAAAAGAAAAAAAAACAAGCACGUGACUGUAACAACUUGAAGAUUACGCAAAACAGACAACGAAAACCUCAAACUUCCAUGUACAAAAACAAACAAGAGUUAUUGAGAAUUUUUCGAGCUUAGCCUAAGUGUAAACAAAAACGCUAAAUUAGUCACACUGACAACAAAAAUUAAGACAAAUGU